CGAGAAAGCCCGCAAGGGUGAGUAAAGCGGCGCACGGGUGCGUAACACGUGGGUAAUCUGCCCUAGAGUCCGGAAUAACUCGCCGAUAGGCGUGCUAAUGCCGGAUGAGACCACGGGAGCCUCGGCUCCUGCGGGAAAAGGUGGCCUCUGUAUACAAGCUAUCGCUCUAGGAUGAGCCCGCGGCCCAUCAGCUCGUUGGCGGGGUAAUGGCCCACCAAGGUUACGACGGGUAGCUGGUCUGAGAGGACGAUCAGCCACACUGGAACUGAGACACGGUCCAGACUCCUACGGGAGGCAGCAGUGGGGAAUCUUGCGCAAUGGGCGAAAGCCUGACGCAGCAACGCCGCGUGUGUGAUGAAGGUCUUCGGAUCGUAAAGCACUGUCGCGAGGGACG
rnacentral:rRNA from 1 species